rnacentral:rRNA from 1 species
AGUGAACGCUGGCGGUAGGCCUAACACAUGCAAGUCGAACGGCAGCACAGUAAGAGCUUGCUCUUACGGGUGGCGAGUGGCGGACGGGUGAGGAAUACAUCGGAAUCUACUUUUUCGUGGGGGAUAACGAAGGGAAACUUACGCUAAUACCGCAUACGACCUACGGGUGAAAGCAGGGGAGCUUCGGACCUUGCGCGAGUGAAUGAGCCGGUGUCGGAUUAGCUAGUUGGCGGGGUAAAGGCCCACCAAGGCGACGAUCCGUAGCUGGUGUGAGAGGAGGUAGAGCGACAGUGGGGCUGAGCGGCGGUCCUGAGACCUACAGGCGGCCGAGAUGGCGACUAGUGGACGCUGGGGGGAAUCCUGCUCCAGCGGUAGCAGCUUGGUGCAGCAGGGCCUCGUGUUGGAAAACCGCUUUGGUGUGGAAGAAAGGCUGCGGGUUUGACCACGGCUGGUGUGACGGUACCCAGUGAAUAAGCACCGGCUAACUACGUG